rnacentral:rRNA from 1 species
UAAUUGCAUUUUAAGGGCGUAUGGUGGAUGCCUUGACAUCAAAAGGCGAUGAAGGUCGUGGCGUGACUGCGAUAAGCCUCGGGGAGCCGUCUAGCGGGCUUUGAUCCGGGGAUGACCGAAUGGGGUAACCCUAUCGUGUGCAAACGCGAUAACUCCGUCUUUGACGGAGAGCAAACCCGGCGAAGUGAAACAUCUCAGUAGCCGGAGGAAAAUAAAAAGAAGCCAGCUUUGCUGGCAAUAUUUCCUGAGUAGCGGCGAGCGAAAUGGAAACAGUCUAAACCAUGUGCUUCGUUUACUAAUCACUAAAUUUCUGAUUUAGCGAUGGGUAAUCGGAGUGCAUGGGGUUGCAGGAAGGAUUUUCUUUUAAGGUACUGAUUAUCGGCAUAUGCUUGUGCUGAUAAUCAGUAUGUUGAGAGCAAGUUACAAAAUUAGGCGUUAGUUAAAUGGCCCUGGAAAGGCCAACCAAAGAAGGUGAUAGUCCUGUAAACGAAAAUUCCUAAUCUUACUCAACCGUCCUCAAUUUUCAAUUUUUGAAAGUUGAGGACGGUUGGAAAGUCCUCUCCUUAGUAGCCAUGGAGCAGACUAUCCGUGGUGAAUCCGGGCCUACUACGGUCCAAGACUAAAUACUUUUGGUGAUCGAUAGUGAACUAGUACCGUGAGGGAAAGGUGAAAAGAACCCCGUUGAGGGGAGUGAAAUAGCAACUGAAACCAUAUGCUUACAAAGAGCCGGAG